AGCAUUUGUGUGUGGCUUUGUGUUGAACUAGUGGACAGGGACAUAAAGACAGACACAAGAAUAAAGUAGCAUUUGCAAUCGGGAACUCACUGUUCAUCAGUAUGAGUAUUGAUACAUUUAAGAAAAAACAUU